UUCGAUCUCAAAUCAGGUAGGACUACCCGCUGAACUUAAGCAUA
rnacentral:rRNA from 1 species